GCUGGUGACACAAUGCUGGGUGACACUGCCUGUGUAGAGGAGGAUCAAAAUAUCAUGUGAAUGAGAUGAAUAACUAAGGAUUGAAGUAAAAAGAAAUGGAAGAAGUUUAAUAGCAAAAAGUUCAAGGUCAUGCAGUCACAACACAACAACAACUUCUGCCAAGGGCUGUCAGCCUGUAUUUUGGAAACAAUUGAAGAGAAGGAAAAGACUUGGGGCUACUCUCUAGCUAUUGGUAACAGACCUGUAAAUCUCCUCGCUGAGCAAUGCUGUGUGCCGCAGUAGCCUCAAGAGAAGAUUGGGGAAGCACUUGGAAGAGAUUUGUGCUGUGGGUGAGAGAAAAGCUACAUGAGGUGUAGGAUUGACCCUUGUUGAGGAUUCCAGAGGGAGCUUCGAAGUAACAGCUGAAAACUAAAGGUUACAAAACCUGUUAUGGAAAAAACCCACAUAAUUUGGGUGUUUGUUGUACCUUCUGAAGUGACUUGGGCAGAUCUUUAAAGGGAUUAACAUGCUGACAAUGUUAAGGGAUUUUCAUACCAAGGCAUUUUAAAAAUUCUUCCAAGUACUCCUCUGUAUCUUCAGCAAUGGAAACGGUAUCACGGAAACUCUUAAAGACACAAUUAGCUUGCACAGCAGGUAGGUGAGAUUCAUUCACUUCUGAAGGUGGACCCAAGUUUUCUAAUUCACACACUUUUGAAAUGUGAUUUAUUUUUUUCCUUCAACUGUCCCUUGUACUUAUCAUGGUCUAUGUAUAAACUUAAAAAUGAAAGAAUUUAUAGCACAGUUAUAGCACAAAUCCAACUUGUUUGAUUUCUAGCCUCUGUGUAAAAGCUGAAUAACAUUUCUAACAUUUGGAGGCUGGGAUAUAGGGAUCACAUUUUAUUUAUCUACCUGUGCCUUUUCAAAACCAGCUAUUCCGUUUUAUUGAAAUACAUAAUCUUAGCAUACCAGACAUCAGCGCUAUGGAAUGUCAUCUGUCCCCAUUUCUUUGUAUUAUAAAUCCUUGUACAUUGCAAAACCAGUUAGAUUAAAGAGCAGAAGCAGCAAAAGACAAUGAAGAAAUUGUAAAUUUGUAUCUCUAUGGUUCUCAUUUGUACCCUAUUUUGUUUAUAGUGGCAGAAAAACAUGGCUCUCAACUAUUUGCAAGAGCAUUUGGCAAUAAGUUCUGCGUCACUGAAAACUUGCUCCAUGUUGCUGCCAGCUGUGGGAUUAUGGUUUUGGGCUUUUUGUAUCAGUGCAAUUAUUUGUAUCAGUGUAACAAUUAACACCAGUUGUUGACACAAAUAUAAAAAAUAUUUAGAUCUGUAAGCCCCUUUAAAAUAUACAAAGGGACCAUAUACUUUCUUAUAUCAAAAGUUUGUCUACAUGGUACUUUGUAGGCAGGUAAGAACUCUUUUAUACAUUGUUCACUUUAUUCUUUCUCAAUUUUAUGUGGGAGAAAAAGAAACUUGAGUUGCAUAGUAUGAAGAAUCACCUUCCCACCUCUAGUCAAAAGCAGGUUGUAUAAAGUUGGUUUUGGUGUUUUCCUAACAAUAGCUACUGGACAGACUGGCUGAAACACUGGCAAAAUACUGCAUGCACAUGCUAGGAAUAAAUAAAUGUCAUGUCUUGUCUGC